GUUAUCUUUCAACCUACGCUCCAUUUUUAUCCAUUUCUUUGUCCAGAAAACCAAUGCAUUUAAUUUUUUUCUUUUAAAUCAUGAUGGAUCUCAUGACUGUGUACCCUUAAAAGAGAUGGAAGCAGAUUGGCAUUCUUGUCUUGACGACAAAUUUAGAUUCAAGUGCCCAAGAAAUCACAAGAAAAAGUUGUGAAGUUUGACUUUCAUGGCCAAUCUGUCGAGCUCAAACAUGAUAGUGUUGUGCUUGGUGUUGGACUUGCUGCCAAGAAGGCUUGUGAAUUGGGUCUUUAGGUUAUAGUUGAUAAGGGGAUAAAUAUGCCUUUUUGUCCCCUUUUUUUUCUAAAAGAAAAAGGGUCAAGGCCUUACUUAAAUUAGAUUAACAAUAUUGUGAAUUUAUUUGGAUAUUGUCUGUCUUUGCUAUAAGAUGAUAGUUUGUUGUUGUUGUUUGUUA